rnacentral:misc_RNA from 1 species
AAAGAUAUAGCAUAUUCCUUCUGAAUAUACUUUAUUAACCCAUUCACGAAGUACCUUACCCGUUGCUAAUCCGCCGAGGCUGUAUCCUCAUCGAGUGCCCUCUGAAGAUUUAUGCUUUGGGGAAGUCCCUUGCGGAAAGGUAUACAAUAAAACAUCUGUGCAUUACCAAUGUCAAUCUGUCUAGAAUCUGUUUAAAACAAAUAUUA